ACUCGGAGGGUGCAAGCGUUGUUCGGAAUUACUGGGCGUAAAGGGCGUGUAGGCGACCAUAUAAGUUAGGUGUAAAAUCAUCUGGCUCAACCAGAUAACUGCGCUUAAAACUGUAUGGCUUGAGUGCAGGAGAGGAAAGUGGAAUUGCCGGUGUAACGGUGAAAUGUGUAGAUAUCGGCAAGAACACCAGUGGUGAAGGCGGCUUUCUAGACUGCUACUGACGCUGAGGCGCGAAAGCUAGGGGAGCAAACGGGAUUAGAAACCCCAGUAGUCC
rnacentral:rRNA from 1 species